AAUAAACGCUGGCGGCGUGCUUAACACAUGCAAGUCGAGCGAGAAAGGUCUUCGGACUGAGUACAGCGGCAGACGGGUGAGUAACGCGUAGGAAUCUACCUUUUAGUGGAGAAUACUCUCGAGAAAUCGAGCUUAAUACUGCAUAAGUCUUGAAAAAGAGAAAGAUGGCCUCUUUGCUGUCGCUAAAAGAUGAGCCUGCGUACUAUUAGCUAGUUGGUAGGGUAAAGGCCUACCAAGGCGAUGAUGGUUAGCCGGCCUGAGAGGGUGUACGGCCACACUGGAACUGAGACACGGCCCAGACUCCUACGGGAGGCAGCAGUAGGGAAUCUUCCACAAUGGACGAAAGUCUGAUGGAGCAACGCCGCGUGAGCGAUGAAGGCCUUCGGGUCGUAAAGCUCUGUUGUUAGGGAAGAACAAGUACCGGAGUAACUGCCGGUACCUUGACGGUACCUAACCAGAAAGCCACGGCUAACUACGUGCCAGCCGCCGCAGUAAAAC
rnacentral:rRNA from 1 species